GUCCUAUUGAUAUUAUUUUAGGUUUAACCUGCCCACUGAAAUUUUUUAACGGCCGCGGUAUUUUGACCGUGCAAAGGUAGCAUAAUCAUUAGUUUUUUAAUUGAAAGCUGGAAUGAAAGGUUGAAUGAGAAAUUAUCUGUCUCUGUUUAAAUUAAUUGAAUUUUAUUUUUAAGUUAAAAAGCUUAAAUUUAUUUAAAAGACGAGAAGACCCUAUAGAGUUUUAUAGUAAUAAGUUAAUUUAAUUUUUAGAAUUAAUAAAAAAAUUUAUUUAUUUUAUUUAAUUGGGGUGAUUAAAAAAUUAAAGUAACUUUUUUUUAUUUAAAACAAUUAUAUUUGAUUGAUUGAUCCAAAAUUUUUGAUUACAAGAAUAAAUUACCUUAGGGAUAACAGCGUAAUUUUUUUUGAGAGUUCUAAUCGAUAAAAAAGUUUGCGA
rnacentral:rRNA from 1 species